rnacentral:rRNA from 1 species
AUGAACGCUAGCUACAGGCUUAACACAUGCAAGUCGAGGGGCAGCAUGGUCUUAGCUUGCUAAGGCCGAUGGCGACCGGCGCACGGGUGAGUAACACGUAUCCAACCUGCCGUCUACUCUUGGACAGCCUUCUGAAAGGAAGAUUAAUACAAGAUGGCAUCAUGAGUCCGCAUGUUCACAUGAUUAAAGGUAUUCCGGUAGACGAUGGGGAUGCGUUCCAUUAGAUAGUAGGCGGGGUAACGGCCCACCUAGUCUUCGAUGGAUAGGGGUUCUGAGAGGAAGGUCCCCCACAUUGGAACUGAGACACGGUCCAAACUCCUACGGGAGGCAGCAGUGAGGAAUAUUGGUCAAUGGGCGAGAGCCUGAACCAGCCAAGUAGCGUGAAGGAUGACUGCCCUAUGGGUUGUAAACUUCUUUUAUAAAGGAAUAAAGUCGGGUAUGGAUACCCGUUUGCAUGUACUUUAUGAAUAAGGAUCGGCUAACUCCGUGCCAGCAGCCGCGGUAAUACGGAGGAUCCGAGCGUUAUCCGGAUUUAUUGGGUUUAAAGGGAGCGUAGAUGGAUGUUUAAGUCAGUUGUGAAAGUUUGCGGCUCAACCGUAAAAUUGCAGUUGAUACUGGAUAUCUUGAGUGCAGUUGAGGCAGGCGGAAUUCGUGGUGUAGCGGUGAAAUGCUUAGAUAUCACGAAGAACUCCGAUUGCGAAGGCAGCCUGCUAAGCUGCAACUGACAUUGAGGCUCGAAAGUGUGGGUAUCAAACAGGAUUAGAUACCCUGGUAGUCCACACGGUAAACGAUGAAUACUCGCUGUUUGCGAUAUACUGCAAGCGGCCAAGCGAAAGCGUUAAGUAUUCCACCUGGGGAGUACGCCGGCAACGGUGAAACUCAAAGGAAUUGACGGGGGCCCGCACAAGCGGAGGAACAUGUGGUUUAAUUCGAUGAUACGCGAGGAACCUUACCCGGGCUUAAAUUGCAGAUGAAUUACGGUGAAAGCCGUAAGCCGCAAGGCAUCUGUGAAGGUGCUGCAUGGUUGUCGUCAGCUCGUGCCGUGAGGUGUCGGCUUAAGUGCCAUAACGAGCGCAACCCUUGCCGAUAGUUACUAACAGGUCAUGCUGAGGACUCUGUCGGGACUGCCAUCGUAAGAUGUGAGGAAGGUGGGGAUGACGUCAAAUCAGCACGGCCCUUACGUCCGGGGCUACACACGUGUUACAAUGGGGGGUACAGAGGGCCGCUACCACGCGAGUGGAUGCCAAUCCCCAAAACCUCUCUCAGUUCGGACUGGAGUCUGCAACCCGACUCCACGAAGCUGGAUUCGCUAGUAAUCGCGCAUCAGCCACGGCGCGGUGAAUACGUUCCCGGGCCUUGUACACACCGCCCGUCAAGCCAUGGGAGCCGGGGGUACCUGAAGUGCGUAACCGCGAGGAGCGCCCUAGGGUAAAACUGGUGACUGGGGCU